CCUACGGGUGGCAGCAGUGAGGAAUAUUGGUCAAUGGACGCAACUCUGAACCAGCCAAGUAGCGUGCAGGAUGACGGCCCUCCGAGUUGUAAACUGCUUUUAGUUGGGAAUAAAAGGGGGCUCGUGAGCCCCGUAUUGUAUGUACCAUCAGAAAAAGGACCGGCAAAUUCCGUGCCAGCAGCCGCGGUAAUACGGAGGGUCCGGGCGUUAUCCGGGUUUAUUGGGUUUAAAGGGAGCGUAGGCCGGCUUUUAAGUCAGCUGUGAAAGGCCGCGGCUCAACCGUGGAAUUGCAGGUGAAACUGGAGGCGUAGAGUGCAAACAGGGAAGCCGGAAUGCAUGGUGUAGCGGUGAAAUGCUUAGAGAUCAUGAAGAACUCGGAUCGCGAAGGCAAGUGUCCGGGGUGCAACUGACGCUGAGGCUCGAAAGUGCGGGGAUCAAACAGGAUUAGAUACCCGAGUAGUC
rnacentral:rRNA from 1 species